CCUACGGGAGGCAGCAGUGAGGAAUAUUGCGCAAUGGACGAAAGUCUGACGCAGCAACGCCGCGUGCAGGAUGACGGCCCUCCGGGUUGUAAACUGCUGUAGCAGGGGAAUAAUACUCGCUUAUGGCGAGUUGAAGGUACCCUGAAAGUAAGCUCCGGCUAACUACGUGCCAGCAGCCGCGGUAAU
rnacentral:rRNA from 1 species